GCUUUACGCACAAUAACUUCUAUUUUCCUCACCCUUCUAGGUGUCUGUUAGCCUAAUCUUUCCUGGUUGUGUGACAAGAGCCUGGUUUUUGCUGAACUAAGGAGAAAAUUCUGCAACAAUAAUAUAAAAACUUCCACUUCAGAAGGAGAUGAAGACUUUGGAAAAGUUUCAUGGGGAAGGAUUUGAGGAUCACACCAUCCUCCCUUGUACAUGAAGAAACCUAGAAGCAGAGAAGCCAUCCACUCUCCCCAUGUCAGUCAGCCAGUGAUCCAUGGCAAAGAUAAUUGACGCUCUGGCAAACCUGGUAUACCCCAGCUACUGCGGAUGUCUGAGGCUGAUAGCUCACAGAGCCAAAUUCAGUCCACUACAAGAAGCCUGUGUUGUCAGCUGUUAUGAAGCUUGUAGAUGGGUGGAGAUGCAAGAGAGACUACAAAUGAAUAACGACAACAAAAAUCAGCCAGUGACUGGUACGUGCAGAUAAUUGAAGUUAUAGAAAGUCAUUAGGUAACUCUUUAAGAUUAUUUUUUUCUGGAAGGUCUCUAGGAAUUAGUGGUAUUUCAACAAUAAUCCGAAUGACAAGAAAAAAUUAGGAGUUCAAAUACCCUGAGGAAGAGUUUCCUAGGCAAAGGGAAAAGUUAAUGUAGAGACAAAAGUUACAACAGGUAUGUCGUAUUAAAUAAAUGAAAAACAAAACCAUAUAGCUAGAAAAUAGUAGAUACACUUGGAGGUGUAGAUAUGGACCAAAUCAUAUAGUACCUUGUAAACCAGAAUAAGGAAUUAAUCAAUUAGUAACACUUACGUUCUGGUAGUCUCACAUAGCUUCCAAAUUUCUUAACAUAGUAUACGUUAUUGUGGUGCUCCUUAGACAUUUGCUGCAGU
rnacentral:lncRNA from 1 species